AUCCGAAGACAUGGAAGACUAUAUGUCUGAAGUGUAAUACUAGUCGUUACCUACGUUCUGAACUAACUUGUUGUUUUUAGUCUCCUGUCCAUGUACUGUAUGUUAUAUGUACUGUACUGUAUGUAUAUUUUUGUAUAAGCAGGGCCGUCCUCAGGAACAAAAAAAUUUCGGUCAGUGUACCAUUUUAGGGGUCCAAAAAUUUUUCCGGACGUACAAAAAUUUUCCGGAACAUUCAAAAAUUUUCCAGAACAUUCAAAAAUUUUCCGCACAUAGCAAUUUUUCAACAUUUUU